rnacentral:rRNA from 1 species
UAGGGAAUAUUGGACAAUGGGUGAGAGCCUGAUCCAGCCAUGCCGCGUGCAGGAAGAAGGCCUUCUGGGUUGUAAACUGCUUUUAUCUGGGGAUAAAAAGGCCUUGCGAGGCAAACUGAAGGUACCAGAUGAAUAAGCCACGGCUAACUACGUGCCAGCAGCCGCGGUAAUACGUAGGUGGCAAGCGUUGUCCGGAUUUAUUGGGUUUAAAGGGUGCGUAGGCGGUUUAUUAAGUCAGUGGUGAAAGACGAUAGCUUAACUAUCGAGGUGCCAUUGAUACUGAUGAACUUGAGUGCACACGAGGUAAGCGGAAUGGACGGUGUAGCGGUGAAAUGCAUAGAUAUCGUCCAGAACACCGAUAGUGAAGACAGCUUACCAGAGUGCAACUGACGCUGAGGCACGAAAGUGUGGGGAUCAAACAGG